AAGCGGUGGAUGAUGUGGUUUAAUUCGAUGCAACGCGAAAACCUUACCCACCUUGACAUGGCAGGAAUCCCGAAGAGAUUUGGGAGUGCUCGAAAGAGAACCUGCACACAGGUGCUGCAUGGCUGUCGUCAGCUCGUGUCGUGAGAUGUUGGGUUAAGUCCCGCAACGAGCGCAACCCAUGCCAUUAGUUGCUACGAAAGGGCACUCUAAUGGGACUGCCGGUGACAAACCGGAGGAAGGUGGGGAUGACGUCAAGUCCUCAUGGCCCUUAUAGGUGGGGCUACACACGUCAUACAAUGGCCGGUACAGAGGGUAGCCAACCCGCGAGGGGGAGCCAAUCCCACAAAGCCGGUCGUAGUCCGGAUCGCAGUCUGCAACUCGACUGCGUGAAGUCGGAAUCGCUAGUAAUCGCGGAUCAGCAUGUCGCGGUGAAUACGUUCCCGGGUCUU
rnacentral:rRNA from 1 species